CGGCAGAAUAAUCUUUCUCCGGAUCAGACGCCAUGUUCUUUUUAACCUCAAUCUUUAAUUGUUGGAUGGUUUGUUUUGAUAUUGGUUGUCAGAUUUCGGAUUGCUACUAUUAUACUGUGAAAUUAAUUUGCAGUGGAAAAUUGAGGUAUAAAAUAUUUCUAUUGGUUUCUUUAUUCUUAUAAUUUUUACAAGAGAAUUGAAAAUGGAUUUACAACAGAAAGGCGUGAAAUUUUCGAAGUUCAAAGUUUUGUACUUUCCAGACCUGCACAACGAAUUACCUAUUUGAAAAAUAGAAUAUGGUUAGAAAUUGCUGAUGUAAUAGAGGAUUCAAGUACCAUUUACAAACAAAAUAUUGAAGAGAAUGUGCUCAAAGGAAAUGCAUAUGAAUUCUUUCUUGUUGACCAGGAUGGAACAAUUCUUUGGAACCUAUAGUUAGAAUAAGUUAGUUAGGCCUAGUGAUGUACCAGCCAGAAGUAGAGGAUGACAAAGAAAAUCAACUAUGAAUAAUAUUCCAUGGAUAUGAUUCAUGUAUGAUGUAGUAGCCUACAGAAGAAAGAGAUGGACUAAUCUAAGAAAUAUAUUCAUUUUUUCAGUACAU